rnacentral:SRP_RNA from 1 species
GCCAGGCAUGGUGGUGCAGGCCUGUAGUCCCAGCUUCUUGGGAGGCUGAGGUAGGAGGCUUGUUUGAGCCCAGAAGGUUGAGGCUGCAGUGAGCUAUGACCGUGCCACUGCACUCCAGCCUGGGCACAAGAGUGAGACCCUGUCUCUA